AGCGAACGCUGGCGGCAGGCCUAACACAUGCAAGUCGAACGAACUCUUCGGAGUUAGUGGCGGACGGGUGAGUAACACGUGGGAACGAGCCUUUUGGUUCGGAAUAACUCAGGGACACUUGUGCUAAUACCGAAUGUGCCCUUCGGGGGAAAGAUUUAUCGCCAUUAGAGCGGCCCGCGUCUGAUUAGCUAGUUGGUGAGGUAACGGCUCACCAAGGCGACGAUCAGUAGCUGGUCUGAGAGGAUGACCAGCCACACUGGGACUGAGACACGGCCCAGACUCCUACGGGAGGCAGCAGUGGGGAAUCUUGCGCAAUGGGCGAAAGCCUGACGCAGCCAUGCCGCGUGAAUGAUGAAGGUCUUAGGAUUGUAAAAUUCUUUCACCGGGGACGAUAAUGACGGUACCCGGAGAAGAAGCCCCGGCUAACUUCGUG
rnacentral:rRNA from 1 species